GAGCAGUAGGCAAGCGACCCGAAAGAUGGUGACCUAUGCCUGAGCAGGAUGAAGCCAGAGGAAACUCUGGUGGAAGUCCGUAUCGGUUCUGACGUGCAAAUCGAUCGAUAGACUUGGGUAUAGGGGCGAAAGACUAAUCGAACCAUCUAGUAGCUGGUUCCUUCCGAAGUUUCCCUCAGGAUAGCUGGAACUCUUGCAGUUAUAUUCGGUAAAGCUAAUGAUUAGAGGCCUUGGGGACGUAAUGUCCUCAACCUAUUCUCAAACUUUCAAUGGAUAUGGCGUCGCAGUUUCUUUAGUGAACUGCGGCGUGAAUGCGAGUUCCAAGUGGGCCAUUUUUGGUAAGCAGAACUGGCGCUGUGGGAUCAACCAAAACGUGGAGUUAAGGUGCCUAACUUCUCGCUUAUGAGACCCCAUAAAAGGUGUUGGUUGAUAUUGACAGCAGGACGGUGGCCAUGGAAGUCGGUACCCGCUAAGGAGUGUGUAACAACUCACCUGCCGAAUCAACUAGCCCUGAAAAUGGAUGGCGCUUAAGCGAGAGACCUAUACUCCGCCGUCGCGGCAUGUGCGUUGUCUAGCGCCAGGUCGCGACGAGUAGGAAGGACGUGGCGGUUGCGUUGAAGGCUAUGUGCGUAGGCUCGGCUGGAGCUUCCGUCAGUGCAGAUCGUAAUGGUAGUAGCAAAUAUUCAAGUUCGAUCCUUGAAGACUGAAGUGGAGAAGGGUUCCACGUGAACAGUAGUUGGAUGUGGGUCAGUCGAUCCUAAGGUACUGGCGAAAGCCUUGUAUCAUCGGUGGCGAAAAGCUUGCUUUUUGUCCCCGCCCGUCGAAAGGGAAUAGGGUUAAUAUUCCCUAACUGAGAUGCAAAGAUUGUGUUCUUCGGAGCACAAGCGCGGUAACGCGUUCGAACUUGGUAAGUCGCUCAGAGACCGAGCUAGAGUUUUCUUCUCUAGUUAAGGAACGGACUCCCUGGAAUUGGUUCAGCCAGAGAUGGGGACGUUGUUUCCGAAAAGCACCGCGGUUUCUGUGGUGUCUCGUGCUCUCUGAACGGCCCUUUAAACACCAAGGGAGGCUAUUAAU
rnacentral:ncRNA from 1 species